rnacentral:rRNA from 1 species
AUUGAACGCUGGCGGCAGGCCUAACACAUGCAAGUCGAGCGAGCGGCGGACGGGUGAGUAAUGUAUGGGAAACUGCCCGAUGGCGGGGGAUAACUACUGGAAACGGUAGCUAAUACCGCAUACCAUCGGAUGUGCCCAGAUGGGAUUAGCUAGUAGGUGGGGUAACGGGUCACCUAGGCGACGAUCCAUAGCUGGGCGGAGAGGAUGAUAAGCACCACGUGAACUGAGACACGGCCCAGACUCAUACGGUAGGCAGCAGGGGGGAAUAUUGCAAAAUGGGCGCAAGCCUGAUGCAGCCAUGCCGCGUGUAUGAAGAAGGCCUUCGGGUUGUAAAGUACUUUCAGUGAGGAGGCGUUACUAUCAGAAGAAGCACCGGCUAACUCCGUGCCAGCAGCCGCGGUAAUUC